rnacentral:rRNA from 1 species
GAAGCCCUACGGGACGCAGCAGUGGGGAAUAUUGGACAAUGGGGGAAACCCUGAUCCAGCGACGCCGCGUGAGUGAAGAAGUAUUUCGGUACGUAAAGCUCUAUCAGCAGGAAAGAAAAUGACGGUACCUGACUAAGAAGCCCCGGCUAACUACGUGCCAGCAGCCGCGGUAAUACGUAGGGGGCAAGUGUGAUCCGGAUUUACUGGGUGUAAAGGGAGCGUAGACGGCAGCGCAAGUCUGGAGUGAAAUGCCGGGG